GGGAGGACCGCUGAGUAGGCUGGGGGCUGCUGCCUGGGGGACAGAGAGAGGGGACGAAGAAAUCCUAGUUCUUAACCAAGGCCAUGCAAAGGGAGAGGGGAGGCGUGUCAAAGGAGCUGCAUAAUUCAGAUGGAAAAUCCACUCCUCUCCAAUUGUCUGGGCCUCUUAGCGGCAGCGAAUUGGGAAAUGAAUGUAUUUCCAAGGAAAGGGAUGGCUCAUAGGUAUCCAGCUAGAUGAGACCUCGGUGGGGGCGGGGGGGGGAGCUGGAAUCACAGGAGUCAUUCAUCCCAGGAAAAGGUGUGAGCCAAAGGCGGGCAUAUUAAAUAUUUCCCUAACUUCAACGUUUUCCUCUGAGGUUUUUUGCAUCUCUUUUCUCAUUAAUUUAUUGUUUUUCAGUAAAGACGUAUUAUUGUGUAACCAGGAGCACUUUAGUAAUUAUACCUUUGAACAUGUUUUCAUGUAAAUAAACUAAAAAGAAUACAGGGUGGGAAGAGGAUGGGUUGAGACUGGGACCACCUGAAUUCCCGCCAUCCUUUGCCACGGAUUGACUGUGUGAGGCUGAGCAAGCCUUGCACCUCUCUCUCCGUGGGAAGAACAGCGAGACCUUUUCAAAGGUUGUGGGCGGAGUCAGAGGAGAUAACGAAACUGAAGGGGAGGCCUUGGGGAAUGCUUCUGAUUUCCGAUGUGGAAAAAUUAGUCCGUAAGAAGUGGGUUAGCCCAGUGUAUCUCAGGAAAAGCCCAGGAAUCUAGCUGGACCCUGCAUAGAAGCUGCCAGGAGGCCUCCACACACAUUCUGAUGCGGUUCGAGAUGACCAAGUACAUCCCUGCCGACCUCCUCCCACCUCUGACUGGCAGAACAUUUGAGAAAUGGCAAGCGACCCAGACAGGUGAACACAAAACCUCAGCUUAAGUCUUGCAUCUGUUUAGCUCCAUGUACAAGGUGCCAUGCUCAGCCCUGCAGCGGUGGAUGUUGUUAUCUGGUGGGGAAGAAGACAGAUACCAGUGGCACAGAGAGGAUGGCAGACACCUUCCUAGGAGCCAGAAGCACAGGGAUUCUCUUCUGUCUGCAGCAGCCAGCAGCUUCCUCCCGAGUCUACAGGAUAGAUAUGGUUAGACAGCUCCCCAGAUGCCCCUGACUCUUCAAAGACAAAGACACUACCUCAGGCCACCGGGAUGGGAAAACACCUUCACUCCACCACUUCUAUAGCACUGCUAUCACCUCCCCGAAGCACGCACAGGAGAUGCCCAAGGACAAGAGGAACGCAGAGGUGGGAAGGUGGAAGGUUCCAACUGCUCAGGCUCUGGUCUGGGGCUGCUCUGGAGUCUGAGUUGGUCUUUUUUUUCUUUGCAGAGUCACUGGAGGCUCCCUAUGGCUUGGUGUUGAGGUAUCACCUGCUUUUCUCCACAAAGCUAGAAAGAGAAUAACUUCCUUCUGCCUUUUCAGAGGCAGCAAGGCACAGUGGUAAGAUGACAGGAUCUAGAGACAAAUGAGCCGAAGACAAGGCUGUCCUCCAGCUGGGUUACCUUGACAAGACAUGUAACAUCUCUCCAUAGCUGAAAAAGAAAAGAGAAAAACAACAAAAUCUACUUUCAGGGCUGAGAGAGAAUAAAAUGAAAUAGUAAUUAUGAGAACACAUCCUAAAGUAUAAACUAUACAUUAUCAUGAAAUAUUAAUUAUCACCAUUAUUUGGACAUUGCUGGUUUGCUCCUCUGCUCUGUGCUCAUGGCCUGCGGAUCUAUUCCUGAUAUCAAAGCUGCUUUCCUACCUAGCUGGAGUUCCGGGGAGAUGGUGAGGCCCGAUGAUCUAGGAAUAAUAGGACAACUGAAUUCCCACCUGAGAGUCCUCUCGGAGUUGCAAGAGCCAAAUAGGCCUAGGGGGCACACAGGGACUCUGAGGGUACAUACAUAGUAGAUAGAGAUUAUAUGAACUGCACACACAGCACCAGAAAACAUACACAUAUAUGAACACAAGACAUAAGCACAGCGUGCCAUGUAAAAGAAUAAACGCCUAGUGGAUGAAUAAUUGAGGAAUGAGAUGUGCUAAAUGCAGAAGCACUUGCCAAGAGAUCCUGAGUCUUAAGUUCCAUUCUGAUACUGACUCGCUAUGUAACCUCAUGAGAGCCCCUUGCUCUCUCAGUUCUUUCCUUUUUAUCUGCAAAAUAGUGACAAUAACAUCUGCCUUGCCUACUUUGUAGGGCUUGUGCAAGGAUAAAAUAAAAUACUUUCCUACAGGAAGCAGUCCAAAGUCCUAUUUGUGUAACACCAGGCUCUUAGCCAUCUGUAAUGAACUACUUAAUAAAUAGUUUUUAUGGAUGUGUAA